CAGCCGCCGCGGUAAUACGUAGGGUGCAAGCGUUAAUCGGAAUUACUGGGCGUAAAGCGUGCGCAGGCGGUUUGUUAAGUCAGAUGUGAAAUCCCCGAGCUUAACUUGGGAACUGCAUUUGAAACUGGCAAGCUAGAGUCUUGUAGAGGGGGGUAGAAUUCCAGUUGUAGCGGUGAAAUGCGUAGAGAUCUGGAGGAAUACCGGUGGCGAAGGCGGCCCCCUGGACAAAGACUGACGCUCAGGUGCGAAAGCGUGGGGAGCAAACAGGAUUAGAUACCCGCGUAGUCCCUGUCUCUUAUAC
rnacentral:rRNA from 1 species